CACGUAGGGCGCGAGCGUUGUCCGGAAUUAUUGGGCGUAAAGAGCUCGUAGGCGGCCUGUUGCGUCCGCUGUGAAACCCAGGGCUUAACUCUGGGCUUGCUUUCGAUACGGGCAGACUAGAGGUAUGCAGGGGAGAACGGAAUUCCUGGUGUAGCGGUGAAAUGCGCAGAUAUCAGGAGGAACACCGGUGGCGAAGGCGGUUCUCUGGGCAUUACCUGACGCUGAGGAGCGAAAGUGUGGGGAGCGAACAGG
rnacentral:rRNA from 1 species